rfam:Ornithorhynchus anatinus chromosome X5, whole genome shotgun sequence.
CUCCUCCCAGGGUCGCACCUGGAGAGUUUCCAACACCCUACCAGUCUCGACUGUGGGAGGGAGAGUUGAGCAGAGGCCUGCCCAUUCCAUUCCUAGCUUGGGCAGUGGCUGGCCAGUGGAAGGCUAUCUGCUGCAAGU